rnacentral:misc_RNA from 1 species
GAUGAAGAACGCAGUGAAAUGCGAUAAGUAGUGUGAAUUGCAGAAUUCAGUGAAUCAUCGAAUCUUUGAACGCACAUUGCGGCCAUAGGUAUUCCUUUGGCCAUGCCUGUUCGAGCGUCAUUUACACCCUCAAGCCUAGCUUGGUGUUGGGCGUCUGUCCCGCCGUUCUCGCGCGCGGACUCGCCUCAAAGUCAUUGGCGGCGGUCGUGCCGGCCCCCUCGCGCAGCACAUUUGCGCUUCUCGGAGGCCCGGCGGAUCCGCGCUCCAGCAAGACCUUUCACGACUUGACCUCGGAUCAGGUAGGGAUACCCGCUGAACUUAAGCAUAUCAAUAAGCGGAGGA